rnacentral:tRNA from 1 species
GCCCAGGUGGCGGAAUUGGUAGACGCGCUAGAUUCAGGUUCUAGUAAGCGAAAGUUUGUGGAAGUUCGAGUCUUCUCCUGGGCACCA